GUAUCAGAAGUGCGAAUGCUGACAUAAGUAACGAUAAAGCGGGUGAAAAGCCCGCUCGCCGGAAGACCAAGGGUUCCUGUCCAACGUUAAUCGGGGCAGGGUGAGUCGACCCCUAAGGCGAGGCCGAAAGGCGUAGUCGAUGGGAAACAGGUUAAUAUUCCUGUACUUGGUGUUACUGCGAAGGGGGGACGGAGAAGGCUAUGUUGGCCGGGCGACGGUUGUCCCGGUUUAAGCGUGUAGGCUGGUUUUCCAGGCAAAUCCGGAAAAUCAAGGCUGAGGCGUGAUGACGAGGCACUACGGUGCUGAAGCAACAAAUGCCCUGCUUCCAGGAAAAGCCUCUAAGCAUCAGGUAACAUCAAAUCGUACCCCAAACCGACACAGGUGGUCAGGUAGAGAAUACCAAGGCGCUUGAGAGAACUCGGGUGAAGGAACUAGGCAAAAUGGUGCCGUAACUUCGGGAGAAGG
rnacentral:rRNA from 1 species